GGGCUUUUCUAUUAUUCCUAUUUCGGCGGAUCGGACUUUUAAUCCGUUGGUCGCGAGUUCGAAUCUCGCAGGACCCACCA
rnacentral:tRNA from 4 species